GUGCUCACUUCGGCAGCACAUAUACUAAAAUUGGAACGAUACAGAGAAGAUUAGCAUGGCCCCUGCGCAUGUACACCCGUGGUGGAUUCAUUUCAAUGUAU
rnacentral:snRNA from 1 species